AAAGAAGCGCGCAGCUCCGGGCAGCAGCAAGUGCUCCUUUUUCGGUGCGCUGCUUUCCAACUCUGCUGUCCUUUGAGGCUUUUCCCAACAACCUCACCCAGAUGUCCCAGCGCGGGUCUGAGCAUGCCAGGCCUGGGAGCCCGGCACCACCGCGAGGAUCGCCGUCCCCUACCUGGGUGGAAAAUCCGCAGCGAGCGGGUCAGCAGCCGAGCAUCAGACAAAAAGACUCGGGACCAUUUCUCAUUGUCAGUAGAGCAAAACACUGGAAAUCACUUUAAUGUUCAACGUGAGGGGAGUUUUGAAGUCAAUAGUGGAGUAUAGCUGCAUGUGACGAGACACUUUAAAGUGUGAAAUCACUCUCCGGAAGAUGAUUUAAUGGAGAGAAGAAUGUAUAUGAGAAAACACAGCCUCCGACCUGAGUGUACAGAGUAAAUCCACUAUGCAGAUGAAGAAAGUUACAUGCUUCAAGGAAAUGAUUUUAUACAAUUCCUCCAAAGUCUGGAGCAUAGGAUUUCAAUGUAGCCUCUCUACUGCCCUCCCAGGGGUCAGAUAGGCCUGCAAAUGUUUGAAGAGUAACACUGGCCACACAAAGUCAUCCAGACAGACUAGCAGAGUCUCAGAGAACAGAUGGCCAACGAGAGAAU
rnacentral:lncRNA from 1 species